GACGAACGCUGGCGGCGUGCUUAACACAUGCAAGUCGAACGGAAAGGCCCUGCUUUUGUGGGGUGCUCGAGUGGCGAACGGGUGAGUAACACGUGAGUAACCUGCCCUUGACUUUGGGAUAACUUCAGGAAACUGGGGCUAAUACCGGAUAGGAGCUCCUGCUGCAUGGUGGGGGUUGGAAAGUUUCGGCGGUUGGGGAUGGACUCGCGGCUUAUCAGCUUGUUGGUGGGGUAGUGGCUUACCAAGGCUUUGACGGGUAGCCGGCCUGAGAGGGUGACCGGCCACAUUGGGACUGAGAUACGGCCCAGACUCCUACGGGAGGCAGCAGUGGGGAAUAUUGCGCAAUGGGCGGAAGCCUGAUGCAGCAACGCCGCGUGCGGGAUGAAGGCCUUCGGGUUGUAAACCGCUUUCGCCUGUGACGAAGCGUGAGUGACGGUAAUGGGUAAAGAAGCACCGGCUAACUACGUG
rnacentral:rRNA from 1 species